AUACGUAGGGUGCAAGCGUUAAUCGGAAUUACUGGGCGUAAAGCGUGCGCAGGCGGUUUUGUAAGACAGUGGUGAAAUCCCCGGGCUCAACCUGGGAACUGCCUUUGUGACUGCAAGGCUAGAGUACGGCAGAGGGGGAUGGAAUUCCGCGUGUAGCAGUGAAAUGCGUAGAUAUGCGGAGGAACACCGAUGGCGAAGGCAAUCCCCUGGGCCUGUACUGACGCGCAUGCACGAAAGCGUGGGGAGCAAACAAGAUUAGAUACCCUGGUAGUCCACGCCCUAAACGAUGUCAACUGGUUGUUGGGUCUUCAUUGACUCAGUAACGAAGCUAACGCGUGAAGUUGACCGCCUGGGGAGUACGGCCGCAAGGUUGAAACUCAAAUGAAUUGGCGGGG
rnacentral:rRNA from 1 species